AGACAAUAAUUUCUGUUGAAAUCCCCAUUCUCUCAAAGUGAGUUUGUACCACUCUCAGUCUAUGGCUGCAUGAAUCUGGCAGCUCCAGCACUGCAGUGCCCAUCAUCUAGAGAGAGCCAAUCUGGCACCAGCUACCACAAGCAAGCUGAGACCCCAGGGAGAUUUCAACACAGGAAACAAGUAAGGCCAGUUGGAGUUGGGAGAGCACCCUACCAAAGCCCAGGAUGAAGAAAAAGUGAGGUGACUUUUGGUUAAGCCAGCCUCGGCAGUACUCCAUCUCAGGACACUCAACCUCAGUGUACUACCUGCCUCGGGGAGGUGCUAGGGAGGGAACUGGAGCUUGGAGGAGUUUAAUUGUUAGAAGAUGCAUCUGGUACUGCAGCCCCCAUUGGCCUGGAACGGCAAACCGCAGCCAGUGGGAGCUGCAAUCGGCCGAACCUGUGGACACUGCAGGUAUUCCAUAGACGAAACAUGGAGGCAGUCUUGCACCUGAAGAUUCUACCAACAGUAUGUUAUGAACAAUGCAUUAUUUUCCAACAAAUGAAAAAGACACCGUUUUUGCUUCUAAUGAACAGAAACUGGCUACAACACAAGACAGAAACUCAAGGAUUUCCAAAAUAUGGAUGCAAUUGAUAGAAGAAUUCUAACAGCUCUUCAAUCUGAAUGUAGGCAACCAUUACUUUGACAUAAAAUCUGUUAUGCAAUGUACACAGAUAACGGUAAAAUUAGCAGAAUUCGUAAAUUAAUCUGAAGGAACUUUAGUCAACUGGUAAGGGGGAACUCCAAACCCAGUCUUGUGCUACAAUCACCAAAAUCUUGACAGUGUUUUGGAGCAAGGUCCCAUAGUAAACUGGAGUCUUUUAAUUUUCUGCCAGGAUGGAAGAUUCAAACAAGUACUUUCUUCAGGAACAACACUCACAAUGAACAAAUACUUGAGACAACAGAAUAUGAACAUGAGCUUAGUGUACAUGUGGCUGGUGUAAGUGACCCUAUAGCCUCAGAAGGGAAAUACCACACUAAUCGUUAUAAAUAUUUCUUGAGAAAUAUAACAAAAACUAAGCAUGAAACCACUCAUAGUAGUACUGACAUGACAUGAUCUGGCUUAGUAAUGAGUUAAAUAUGGUGCAGAAGAAGUCAGUGUAAAGACAUUUACUAUUUUUUUAAGUUUUACCUAAAUUUUGAACUCCAAUUUAGAAGGUGAAAUAUUCAAAAUUCAGAUUGGUAACUUUUUUUCCAGAUUCAGCACAUUCAGGUUAUGAAAGAUAACUUGUUUACCUACUUUUCCCCAACAAUUCCUCCUACAUCUUAUUUUAUAGAAAGUGUGCCCAGCUUAAAGUGGGAGAGUUACCCACCCAAGUGGAGAUGGAACCCAGGCUCUAACUCUUUCCCCAGCCACCCCAGCUAGCCCACCUUCAACUUACCACUAAACUCAGGUGAAAGGUUUGUGUGUGUAGACAGAAGGGGGAUUAGGGGCAACAAACAAGAGCCCAAGCUAAUUCUUCAGUGAAGAUAUACCAAGGGAUACACAGGAGGAUCUGGGUUUGCUAGGAGAACGUUAUUUGGUUCUGUUGUGUUCCUAAUUUAUCUUGCAGUGAAGUGUAAGAUUAAAUAAGACCAAAUAUGCAUGUAGGCCAUCUGUUUUAAAAUCCACUUUUCACUGAUACUUUAUUCCAACUACUAAAUAAAGAUACUUUGCUUUAAGAAGGUUGUUGCCUAUCAAUGGUGGCAAGUUCCUGAAUAGA